CUCUCCAUUUUCCUAAUAGGGCCAUGUUAUAUAGCCUUAUAUUUAAUCCCUAAACCACCCUCUUCCUUACUUUGACAUAAUUUUUUCUCCACCUUUUUUGUGUUCAUUCAUGUUAUCUAACUCGGUUAUUUUCUUAAUGACAUUCUGCAUUGUGGGUAUCUAGGUAUCUGAAGACUUCCCUGUUCCAGACUUUUAGGUCUUGUUUUAAAGUACUGAUUAUUACUGUUGGAAACGUGGCAUUCAUAUGCCUACAUAAAUAAGUUGUGUUAUAAGUAGAUAAAGUACACUAACAAAACUAUCAAUAACUAUAAAAAGAAGAUAAUUGGAUUUAGAAAAAAAUUUAAGACAAGUAAAAGAAGUAACAUGGGAGUGUGGUAACGGUGCAGCUCGAGUCCAGAUAUAAUUAAUUUUAUAUUCAUAAUUGCUUUCUGGAGUUUAUUGAGAAAGAUGCUCAAUUAGUAGNACAAACAUGGUGAAGCGGUGCUGAUCGAUGCCUUCAAUAAAUUUAUCUUCCCGUGCAUUUCAACUCAAAUCACUGUUUCCUUAUUUCUAUCAAUUCAGAAAGCAGCGCGUGGAUAUUUUCUUAUUCAAGUGGUGUUCUGUGCAUUCGGUGUCAAUCAACGUUGAAAUCGUACCAGCACUUCAUUCACGUGAAUUGAAGCAGAAUUGCGCUUAUUGGCAGGUGAAGAAAAUGGAGAUUAGCAGUGCAUGAAUUUGAUUCGUUGAUUUAUUCAUACUGACUCGAACCGUUUUUGUUCGACUACGGUGUAGUUAAAUCAAUUCCAAUUGCUAACUCCAUUUCAAUUUCCUGAACAAUUAUCGGUGGUCGGUUCAAUUCGUUGAAGCGCCAUACAUAUGCAGAAGCUUUUUUUCAGUCGUAUAGCUUUAUUCAAAUCAACCUCCUUUGAUUUUUGGAGACUGAGCUGACGCGUUUGGUGCCUUUUGACUGACAUUCACGUGAAGCAGUGGAAGCAAAUUUCAAGGCAGCAGGCGAGAUAGCAAUUUUGAUAAGAAAGCAGGUAGUACCUGGAUUGUCCUUCAUACAUGGUGUUAUUGAAGCUUCCAAACCAGAGUUUUUUAGCAUAUGUAACAUAAAUUGAUCUUAAACAUGGUGUGACGAGGAUGCCUGUUGAAAAUGUCUCCAUUUUUGGCACAUUGCUUACCCUUACUAUGUUCAACUUAGGCAAAUAUAAAAUUUUACUUUGCCUAUAGAAACUUACCAACAUCGGAAGAUCUUUCAAUACAAGGUAUUCUAGUUCAGGAAAAA